AUACGGAGGAUCCAAGCGUUAUCCGGAAUCAUUGGGUUUAAAGGGUUCGUAGGCGGGUCAAUAAGUCAGAGGUGAAAUCUUGCAGCUUAACUGUAAAAUUGCCUUUGAUACUGUUGACCUUGAAUUACUGUGAAGUGGUUAGAAUAUGUAGUGUAGCGGUGAAAUGCUUAGAGAUUACAUAGAAUACCGAUUGCGAAGGCAGAUCACUAACAGUAUAUUGACGCUGAUGAACGAAAGCGUGGGUAGCGAACGGGAUUAGAAACCCCAGUAGUCC
rnacentral:rRNA from 1 species